rnacentral:rRNA from 1 species
GAUAAACGCUGGCGGCGUGCCUAAUGCAUGCAAGUCGCACGGAGUGCCUCUUCGGGGGCGCUGAGUGGCGAACGGGUGAGGAACGCGUGGAGAACCUACCCCGGCGUGGGGGAGUACCCGCCAGAAAUGGUGGCUAAUACCGCGUACGGUCCAGGGGCGAGAGGCCAUCUGGAAGAAAGCAGUGAUGCGCGCUGGGAGGGGUCGUGCGCCCGAUUAGCUAGUUGGCGGGGUAACGGCCCACCAAGGCGGUGAUCGGUAGCUGGUCUGAGAGGAUGAUCAGCCACACGGGGACUGAGACACGG